GUUGGUGUGAGCCUUUUCACAACAAGGGGACCUCCCCAUUCUUAGAGAAGGAGCAAGAAGAAAACUUUCUAUUGCAAGCACCAGGAAACAAAGAAGCAAGGGAUUGCUCCUUGAGGAUUUAUAGACAUUUGACUUGACAGCACCAUAAUGCACCUCUCCAAUUCAAAGAAAAGAAAAAGGAAAAUAUCUUGUUUGGCUGAUGGAUCGCUGUGGCAAGCCUAGAGCAAUGCCUGGGUGCUACUGCACUAAUGAUCUUUCUCAACAUCCAGCCAGCGCAUGCCCACAGAUUCUUUGCUGUUGUUAUGACUGUUAUUAUUGUUUCUGCCAUUAAUAUAAUUCUUUGCUUAACUUGAUGACAUCCACAUAGAUUUUGUAGUUAUAUAUAUAUACCCACACACAAGAACACGGAAAAUGAGAAAAGAAUCAUCUUGAUAUUUUUCCAGGCAGAAGCCUGCUGUCACUGUUGUUUGAGGUCAAAUUAGGGGGGAAAAACAUUCAACUGAAUCAACAAAAGUGCAACUUAAGAUUGGCUUAUGCACUUGAAAGUCGUUGAAAAAGCAAACCAGCAACCACCCAAAAGCUGGAUGGAAAUUUUUAUUCAUGAAGUGGGGCACUGCAGGUUUUGGGGUUUGCUAGGGGUCACCUUGAUCAUGACAGGGAGUGAAAGCGGUUUGCAUUAAAAAGGAAACUAGGGUUUGUUGGGCCUUCUAGAAGGGCUUCCUGAAGCAACUUGCAAGGCCCAAACCCCCCCUCCCUCUCUCUCUCUUUUUCUCUCUCUAUCUCCAUCACUCUCUGUCAUUCUCUCUCUAGCCCAAUCCUUGUGGAGUAAGUAUGGGGUCACAAGUGGAGGUAGGAGAGAGAGUUGGUUCCCCUUUUUGUUGCUGAAUGUUGGCAAUAGCACCAGCUUUCUUAACAGGCAUCACCAUCUUCCUCCCCCUCUUUUCUGGCUUCAUGCUCAACUCUUUCUUCCCCAGUGUUUCACCAGUUGCCAUGAAAAGAACAACUACCUUGAGCCCUUCCCUUGCCCUUGGGCCCAUGCCCCCAAAACAGUAAUCUAUUAAGUUUCUUUAAUAAGGGUUUCACUGUUUUUUUUCCUCUUCCUCCUGCGCGGCUCGACUCAGUGGCCUAACUUUCUUCCCAAGCCCUGCACGUGAUCAGGAACUGCACCACUAUGAGGGCUAAACUGGUCCACCUGGGUCCCACUAACUGGGUGGCCUGGCCGCAGUCUCUCUGUCUGUGUGUGAGGUUCGUGCACCAAAGUUGGUGUUGUUAGGUGAGGGGGUUGUUGGCAUCUCUAAUAAAUGACUGCAUGUGCUCUCUCUCUGUCACUCUCUCUCUCUCUCUCUUUCUCUUUGCAAAGAUUACAGAAAAGAAUACUGAACCACAAGACCGCAGCAAUAUCAUUGUUGUGCAUGCAUAUCUCUAAGUAUGAAUGAUGUUUAUUAGGCUUAGCUUGUGAUGAUUGAACCGUCCUCACCAUCCCCAUCAUCGUUAUCAGCAUCAUCCUCUGAGCAUCUAAUGCGAUUGCAACCAGUUCUGCCAUUGCCAUUACUGUUCCAUGGCUCUGUGCUUCUCCAACAGACACGUGAUCUCACUCCCUCUCUCUGUCUCUCUCUCUCUCUCUCUCUCACACACACACACACGCAGCCGAAAUAUCUAGCUAUCUUUAAUUCUGCAGCUGGUUUUGACAGGUCCAACUUUAGGAUUAGUGGAUGUGAAAUGUCCAGACUGUAUGACAAAAAAAAAAAACAUGAAAUUUUGAUGAUAGAUCAGUUGGUAUAGUGAUUUCAUACUUACCUCUCUCAGUUUUAUUGAUUAAUGAAAUCUGAUUUAUGUAUCAAAUUUAUACGGUUUCUUUGUUUUGACGUUUCACGUUUGUUUAUGCGAUUAGAUCUUUGAGAGGAAAACAUGAAAAACGCUAAACAACAUAUCGGCCACGGCAUGAUAUAAUGAUUCAUCUUUUGAUAAUAAAAGGACGAGGGCCUACCCCUCAGCAGGUUUUUCACCGAUAAUGAUUCAUCGAUAUCUACAAGAAACUUGACUGCUUUAAAACAUGACUCUUGAAUUAUAUUUCUCUUCUAUAUAUAUAUAUAUAUAUAGGAUACAUCAAUCUUGGCAAGUGUGACAACUCGCUUCCUUCUCAUUGAAUACACAACUAUAAGCAUUAAAUGGGGAGUGAAUUAUCUGAACGGUCUGUUAGAAAUAUAUAUAUACAUAUAUAAGGUGAAAUCCUCUGGCCGUCUGGCUUCCAUCCAAUCAUGGCUGGCCCCAAUGCAAUGUAUUGGGCAGGCGUGAAUUAAACACAGGGCAAUAUGUGCUGUGAGAGGCAGGAAGAUUUCUCGAUUCAAACCUGGGUGGAGAAAUCCAACAGAGAGAGAGAGAGUUGAUAUGGAACCCCCUUUAGAGAACCAAGGCAAAGUGAAGGUUCACUACAAUGUCUUGUUAAAUGGAACUAUAUGUUUAGACCAUAAGGUUUCCAAUUUUGCUAGCUAGGUGAUUUUUCUAUCUAUAUAUAUAUAUAUAUAUACUUGAUCGAUGACAGGAGCUCUGUACCUAAUAGGGGACUGAUCCCUUGCACACUUCUAAGUAUCAUGGGAUCCUUGAUGCUAACUGGACGAUGCGAGCCUAUAAAUGGCGCCCUUGGGAAGUCACUCAGAAGCAAGAGAGAGAGAGGGGAGGCAAAGUACAAGCAGAAGAGGGAGCCCAUGGACUGUAAAUAGGCGUGGAGUUAAACGUGUAUAUUGAAGGGGCUUUACCGCUGCUCCCAAGUGGUUUCUGGUCAAGGUUUUCUUUCAAACUAAUUUGAGAAAGGAAAAGCUGCAGAGUUUUCCAGCACUUUAGUGCGUGUUCAUAAGCUUGAUGGUUUCCUUAGAAAAACCAUACAUAAUGAUUAUGUUCAGUGGGCUUUUACAGUCAAUUUUUGUUCCCACACAUAGAAUGGAAAGAAGAACACCUUGUGAAACCACCACACCUAUUACAUUCUUUGUAGUUCACUUAGUAGGUGAGGUCCGUGAGGAAUCUCUUUUAGAUAUCCACUGCUAAGAUCAGUAUAGAAAGAACAGAACCAACUGUAUUGAAAUCUUGACCGCUUUCAGUCUAAAGGUCUUAAUCGAACAUAAUUUCAAGUGUAAUAACUUGCCCUGCCUGAAUGAGUUCUAGAGACGACUCAUUUAACCAUAUCAAAAGGGUUA